rnacentral:rRNA from 1 species
UACGAAGGGGGGCGAGCGUUGUUCGGAAUUACUGGGCGUAAAGGGCGCGCAGGCGGCUCUGAAAGUCAGAUGUGAAAGCCCCCGGGCUUAACCUGGGAACUGCAUUUGAUACUCUGGAGCUUGAGUACGGGAGAGGAUAGUGGAAUUCCCAGUGUAGAGGUGAAAUUCGUAGAUAUUGGGAAGAACACCGGUGGCGAAGGCGGCUAUCUGGACCGUAACUGACGCUGAGGCGCGAAAAGCGUGGGGAGCAAACAGG